GACGUAGGGCGCGAGCGUUGUCCGGAUUUAUUGGGCGUAAAGAGCUCGUAGGCGGCUUGUCGCGUCGACUGUGAAAACCCGCGGCUCAACUGCGGGCCUGCAGCCGAUACGGGCAGACUAGAGGUAUGCAGGGGAGAACGGAAUUCCUGGUGUAGCGGUGGAAUGCGCAGAUAUCGGGAGGAACACCAAUGGCGAAGGCAGCUCUCUGGGACGGUACUGACGCUGAGACGCGAAAGCGUGGGGAGCGAACAGG
rnacentral:rRNA from 1 species